AUUCGGGUGAUUAGUUUUAACUUUUAAUUAAUCUGUUUACAAGAGAAAUUAGAUACGAAUCAUAUGAUCCUUAAGAGGCGAAUUUAGUAUUUUUUUUCUUCUUCUUCAUACAUUGGAUGAUGCAUGAAGCCAUGGUGCAACAUGGUAAUGGAUUAGGCAUGUAAUAUCAAGUGAUUAAUUAUGGUUCACAUAUAAUCCAUGGGUUUAAUAAUUAUGCUAAUGAAUCUAUGAAUCAUGGAAAAAAAUAUAAAUAGUCGUCAAGAUAUAUUAAUCAAUCCUAUGUAUUGAAUAAAGAAGUGUCACUUUUAAGAAAAAGAGAUGAUAGGGAAACAAGAGCAUGCAUGUGCUAGUGUUGGAUAAGACGACCAGUCUUCGGAAAGAGUUCAAACAUCACCUUGGGAGUUGAUUAGGGACAAAUUAGAGUCGUUUUCUCUUUAUAUUCAUGUUCUUGUUUGGUUAUAAUCAACGCGUUCAGACGUUAACAACAAAUAACAUGA
rnacentral:lncRNA from 1 species